rnacentral:tRNA from 1 species
GCCGGAGUGGCGGAAUGGCAGACGCGGCGGACUCAAAAUCCGUUGACCGCAAGGUCGUGGGGGUUCAAGUCCCCCCUCCGGCACCA